UAAGGUUUCAAGUAAAAUUUGUGUGCAGUGGAUUUGCUUACUACUACUAUUACUUGGUUGAUUAUACCGGCGCACUGCUUUGAUAUCGGUAAAGCUGCCACCUAGGCUACGUCACUCGCCUGUCAAACAGAAGAUUUCCUUUCCACUUUUACCUCAGGGACACCACAGGAGACCAGACGGCUCAUUCAUUUCAGGGCGACCAGGGACAAUGAGUUCCUAAAAUCGAAAAUGAUCGCCAGAAAACAGUGGGAGCUUUUUCUGGAAGAAAUGGGGGUGGAGGGGAAAGUGACCAGGCAACAGGCUUCUAAGAAGUGGGAGAACCUCAAAAAGAAGUACAAGGAUUUGAGGACUCCCAAAACUCGGGUCGGGGACUGAAAGUGGGGAGGUGACUGUGGCGACGUGGCAGUAUUAUGACUUGAUGCACGAGGUUCUUGGUGCCCGGCCAGCAAUUGACCCACCAGUCCUUGUGUCAUCUAUUCAAGACCCCAUGGUUAUCCUCAUGGAGAUGGUGGAGCCCUACACCCAAGGUUGACCUCCACCUUGUCUUCAUCAUCCCGAAGGCCCGCUCUAUCACAGAACGUGCCUUGGAUUGGCGGUAAUUAAAGCGCUGCUGCACCCGCCCAAUCACCGGCUCUUUAUAGGGAGUCAACAGACAUACGGGCGUCUGGAGGCAGGGGUACCCACCAUCACCUAAAAGCAUGUAACCCGGCGGUGGAUACCUGGCAGUCAAAUAAAAAUAACAGUUUUUCAUUACCCUUGUCCUUUAUGUUUCUUGGACGGAAUGUAACUGAUAAUUUCGU
ensembl:lncRNA